rnacentral:rRNA from 1 species
GAUGAACGCUGGCGGCGUGCCUAAUACAUGCAAGUCGAGCGAACAGACGAGUAGCUUGCUCCUCUGACGUUAGCGGCGGACGGGUGAUUAACACGUGGAUAACCUACCUAUAAGACUGGGAUAACUUCGGGAAACCGGAGCUAAUACCGGAUAAUAUAUUGAACCGCAUGGUUCGAUAGUGAAAGACGGUUUUGCUGUCACUUAUAGAUGGAUCCGCGCCGCAUUAGCUAGUUGGUAAGGUAACGGCUUACCAAGGCAACGAUGCGUAGCCGACCUGAGAGGGGGAUCGGCCGCACUGGAAGGGAGACGAGGUGGAGACUCCUACGGGAGGCAGCAGUAGGGAAUCUUCCGCAAUGGGCGAAAGCAGGACGGAGCAACGACGCGGGAGUGAUGAAGGUCUUCGGAUCGUAGAACUCUGUUAUUAGGGAAGAACAAAUGUGUAAGUAACUAUGCACGUCUUGACGGUAGCUAAUCAGAAAGCCACGGCUAACUACGUG